AAAUUGAAGAGUUUGAUCAUGGCUCAGAUUGAACGCUGGCGGCAGGCCUAACACAUGCAAGUCGAACGGUAGCACAGAGAGCUUGCUCUCGGGUGACGAGUGGCGGACGGGUGAGUAAUGUCUGGGAAACUGCCUGAUGGAGGGGGAUAACUACUGGAAACGGUGGCUAAUACCGCAUAACGUCGMAAGACCAAAGAGGGGGACCUUCGGGCCUCUUGCCAUCAGAUGUGCCCAGAUGGGAUUAGCUUGUUGGUGAGGUAACGGCUCACCAAGGCGACGAUCCCUAGCUGGUCUGAGAGGAUGACCAGCCACACUGGAACUGAGACACGGUCCAGACUCCUACGGGAGGCAGCAGUGGGGAAUAUUGCACAAUGGGCGCAAGCCUGAUGCAGCCAUGCCGCGUGUAUGAAGAAGGCCUUCGGGUUGUAAAGUACUUUCAGCGGGGAGGAAGGUGUUGUGGUUAAUAACCACAGCAAUUGACGUUACCCGCAGAAGAAGCACCGGCUAACUCCGUGCCAGCAGCCGCGGUAAUACGGAGGGUGCAAGCGUUAAUCGGAAUUACUGGGCGUAAAGCGCACGCAGGCGGUCUGUCAAGUCGGAUGUGAAAUCCCCGGGCUCAACCUGGGAACUGCAUUCGAAACUGGCAGGCUUGAGUCUUGUAGAGGGGGGUAGAAUUCCAGGUGUAGCGGUGAAAUGCGUAGAGA
rnacentral:rRNA from 1 species